rnacentral:rRNA from 1 species
AGUGAACGCUGGCGGCGUGCCUAAUACAUGCAAGUCGAACGGAGUGGCGCACGGGGGAGUAAUAUAUAGCUAAUCCGCCCCUUGCUGGGGGACAACAGUUAGAAAUGACUGCUAAUACUCCAUAGCAAGGGAUGAGACUAUAUCGGAUCAGCUAGACGGUGGGGUAACGGCCUACCGAGGCUAUGACGCGCAACUGGUCUGAGAGGAUGAUCAGCAACCUUCGAACGGAGACAGGGUCCAGGCUCCUGCGGCAGGCCGCAGAAGGGAAUAGUGCGCAAGGGGCGUGACUGUGACGGAGCAUCGCCGCGUAGAGGAUUACACGUUUCGGGGCAUAAACUCCUUUUGUUAGGGAAGCGGUACCUACCGAAUAAGCACCGGCUAACUCCGUGCCAGCAGCCGCGGUAAUUC